rnacentral:rRNA from 1 species
CAAUAGCGUAUAUUAAAGUUGUUGCGGUUAAAAAGCUCGUAGUUGGAUUUCUGCCGAGGACGACCGGUCCGCCCUCCGGGUGAGUAUCUGGUUUGGCCUGGGCAUCUUCUUGGAGAACGUAGCUGCACUUGACUGUGUGGUGCGGUGUCCAGGACUUUUACUUUGAGGAAAUUAGAGUGUUUCAAGCAGGCACACGCCUUGAAUACAUUAGCAUGGAAUAAUAAGAUAGGACCUCGGUUCUAUUUUGUUGGUUUCUAGAGCUGAGGUAAUGAUUAAUAGGGAUAGUUGGGGGCAUUCGUAUUUAACUGUCAGAGGUGAAAUUCUUGGAUUUGUUGAAGACGGACUACUGCGAAAGCAUUUGCCAAGGAUGUUUUCAUUGA